GUAUGUUUUCACAAAAGAAACAAAACAAUUAGUGACACGAAAAAAGUAUUUACCGAAAAAUGAAACAUGUGGAAUUGCCACUAACAUUUAAAACAUUCUAGAGAGAACUGUCAGUCAAAUCAUAAGUCUUUCCCCUUUCAGAGUCUGCCGUUGGACUUAAUCUGCCCCAGCUCCACCCAUGAUACAAUGGCAAGAACAGAACCUAGAAGCCAAUGGACAAUUCCUGCUUAGAAGAUGCAAUCUGCAGAAGAAAGACUGAACAUACAACUGCAUUCUCCUAUUCAGCCUUUCAACCUCCUCCGAAGCUUUCAGUAGUAUAAGCUGCCACUGUUUAAGUGAUACAUCACUGGGAGAGGAGGAGAGCACUCCAUGUUUCCAACAACAUCCUCUAGGUACAUUGCUGCUGGGCCAAAAGUUCAACAAAUGCUCCAGCCUGAAGUAACUCCUCAACACAAGCUUUCAGCCAACUCUGGCAAGUAACUAACUGAAGACUAGGAGGAAGUAAGCUCCACAGGGUUUCUGCGCAGAUGCCUCUCAGAGUGACACUGAGUGACGUAUAUUAAUUUCUAUUUCUCUCUCUCUCCAAGAGCCAAACGUACAACUCCUGGCAGAAGGACACCCAGGUUCCAGUGAUCAGCAGAUCCAGAUCAACGUCCUCUAAACGAGUCGUAUGGAUUCAGUUUCUUCACUGCUUUCAUUCAGAUACACAUCUUGUAUCGCACACAGGGCUUCUUCUUCAACUUCUGUUCAUAUCACCAUCUUCUCCUGUCAAUAUUUAUCCAUCAAAACACCCAGCUGCAUGUGAGUGAUGACCACUGAAGUAACUACUGCCAUAAACUGUGGAAAUGCAGUGCCUGGGCUCCGCUCCUAACGCCACCUGCACGGCAAUGGGCGCUGGGGCAGGCAGAGGCUGGGCGAACGGCUGGAGGCUGGCCUGAAGAGCCGCGGAGGAGUGCAGCGAGCCCUCGGCGCUCUGGGCAAGCAGGCUGCUGGGCCUGUGGGGCUGUAGGGAGUCACGGUAAGCAGAGCACAGGUCUUGCACUGGCGACUGGAACUGGGAAAGCGUAGCUGAAUGCUGGGCUAGGGAGUAGUAACUCGCCUGCUGGAAGAGAACUUGAGUAGUGGCUUGAUUGCUCAGAUUUCCCACUGCUUCCUGCUCUUGCUGUGGAGUUGUUACUUGGUUUUUUUUGUUACUGGCAUCUUUGAUGUCAUUCUCAUAAUAUCUGAAACAAAUUAUAAGUAAGAUUUAUCAAAGAGAAAAGUUCACAGAGGUUGCAUAUAUCCCAAAAUUUCACCAGUCAGGCUACAUCAUCAGCUUUUUGGCCCUAGCUCGAUGUAGUAAUCCUCAUCUGCUUUCACCAUUAAUUCUAAUUAUCCUGCCACAAUAUUCACACAUUAGGUUUAUGGAUCAUUUUACAUCACAAGUGUGUUGUUACUGAUGGACUGGUUAUCUUGGAACCUUAAGUCCACAAUACACAAUUUCAAAAUGCCUUUGUAAGUAUUUGCAGAGUAUCAAAGUGUGUAGCUAUAAGGGAACAAGGCAAGUUCCUGUUAGGUAUUAAGAAGAAAUAUUUUCACACUUUUGAUUAUCACGAGAAUGAUGAAGCACUGGAACAAGUUGCCCUGGAGGGUUGGGAAGUCUCUGUCCUUGGAGAUAGUCAAAACUUGCCUAGAUAACACCCCAGCCAGUCCAAUUUAACUGCAGUUGGCCCUGCUUUAAGGAGGAACUCAGAAGGUCCACCAUCACUCCCAACCUAAAUCAUUCUAUUAAACUUUUUUUUAUUUUCUAUUAAGACUGUAUGUGCUCAGAUACCAGACCAGUAUUGAUGCAUCACAAUCAUACCAUUUAGUGGAGAAAAAACAAAGAACAGUUCUGAAACGGCUCCCUACAGUAUUCUUGAUGUUAGACACUGGUGUGUCUGCAGCAAAUAUAUUGCAGGUACAAUGAGAAAACAAAGGGGGAAAAAAGCUUUCAUCAGCCCUCUGUAAAAGCUUCUAUCCAGUCACAUAGACAAGCAGUACAAGAAAACACAACGAACACCAAACUGUGCACUCCAUUCUGCAUUGCAAAUAUUGUUAAAAUACAGUAUUUAGUAAAGGGACCUGGGUUUUUUCCCUUUUAUUUCUCUCCCCGAACUGAAGAUAGAGAAUACCAAUGUAUAUUAAUUCUAGCUAAACAAUGACUUAAAAAAAUGAAAUAAAUUAAAAACCAAACCAAAA